rnacentral:rRNA from 1 species
GACGAACGCUGGCGGCGUGCUUAACACAUGCAAGUCGAACGGAAAGGCCCUGCUUUUGUGGGGUGCUCGAGUGGCGAACGGGUGAGUAACACGUGAGUAACCUGCCCUUGACUUUGGGAUAACUUCAGGAAACUGGGGCUAAUACCGGAUAGGAGCUCCUGCUGCAUGGUGGGGGUUGGAAAGUUUCGGCGGUUGGGGAUGGACUCGCGGCUUAUCAGCUUGUUGGUGGGGUAGUGGCUUACCAAGGCUUUGACGGGUAGCCGGCCUGAGAGGGUGACCGGCCACAUGGGGACUGAGAUACGGCCCAGACUCCUACGGGAGGCAGCAGUGGGGAAUAUUGCACAAUGGGCGGAAGCCUGAUGCAGCAACGCCGCGUGCGGGAUGACGGCCUUCGGGUUGUAAACCGCUUUCGCCUGGGACGAAGCGUGAGUGACGGUAAUGGGUAAAGAAGCACCGGCUAACUACGU